rfam:Agrococcus jejuensis strain DSM 22002 genome assembly, chromosome: I
GGGCCCGUAGCUCAGUCGGUCAGAGCACCUCGUUUACACCGAGGGGGUCAGCGGUUCGAGCCCGCUCGGGCCCA